AAAAAAAUGAAUGAAUUGGGGUAAGGUGAUAAAAUUAAAAGUUCUGGAAAAAUCUGUUAUUUCAGUUAGGGUCUUUUAGAACGAAAUAAAAGUUUGGGCAGAAUUCGAAAAUUUCAGAAAAUAUGGGAUUGGACUGCAAUUUUUGCUAGGGUUUCUUCUUCUUCUUCUUUUUCCUCCUCCCAUGGCCGACCCUAACACCAUUGUUGCCUAUCUUCCACUCCGAUUUGCCUCCUUGCUCGCCGUCGACCAUCGACCACCGCCCCGUGGCCACCGCUUCAUCACCGUCGGUGAAGAAAAUCUCGAGGUUAUUGAACCCGGGAUCGAGGAUUAGAGCGAAUCUUUCAGAGUUCAUCGUUUAGACCAAGGUGCCAUAUUACUUCAAAAUGGAGGAAAUUCAUUUCUGUUCGAGGAUAAAUACUAGAUGCUACCCGUCGGAGACAUUGAAAAAAUUGAAAGAUCUAUUAACAGCGGAAGAGUGGUUGUACUUUAAGAACGAGUCGCAGUUUCAACAUUUAUUCCAUGUCCAAUUUGAAGACACCCUGAAAAUGGCGCAUGCGGCAUAUCUGAUAAAUCAUGCAGUGAGGGUCAGUGAUGAUAAAGAGCUGUGGUUUUUCUAUAAUGGUGUACCAAUCAGAUACUCGAUCAUCGAGCACGCACUAAUAUGCGGAUUAAAGUGCGGUGAAUAUCCGGGAGGGUGGGAGUAUAAGAGAAAAAGUCACUUUAGAGUUAAGACAUUUGGAAAAGGAAAGGUGACUAAACAAAGUGUGCUCAGGCAACUAGAGAAGACACCUACUCAUAGGGUUGCCGACCGGAAGAAACUGGCAAUUGUGAUGUUACUUGGAGGAGUCCUAGAUCAUGGUACAACAGAUGAUCACAUAAACCAUGAUUUGGUAGACAUGGUUAAUGAUUUGGAGUUUUGUGAAAAAUUUCCUUGGGGACGUUAUACAUUCAAAAAAAUCAUUGAUCAAAUACGAAAGAUCUUCAUGAGUGGAACACCAAAGACUAAGUGGCAU